UGCGCACUGAGCAGGCAUGGAGGGGGCGGAGCUCGCAGCGGACCGGUGGCUCGGCCUCUGGCGUGGUCCCGGGAAAGUCUCCGCGUGUCCAACCGCUCAGCUGUCCUCGGUACCACGGUUCCCGCCUCUCCAUUAGCCUCCUUCUCCUCUCAUCUCUUACCUAGAGCCAUCGCCACUUGAGAGGCACCCCAUAGUAGGGAGAGUAGUUUCCUGGUUAUAAAACUUAAAUUGGACUGGGCAGUGGUGGGACAUGCCUAUCAGCACUAAGGGGAGAGAGGCUUGUGGAUCUCUGAGAUACACUACACUCCAGCCUGGUAUCUGCAGAGUGACCCAGGACAGCCAGGGCUACACAGAGA
rnacentral:lncRNA from 1 species